rnacentral:rRNA from 1 species
UGGGGAAUAUUGCGCAAUGGGCGAAAGCCUGACGCAGCGACGCCGCGUGAGGGAUGAAGGUUUUCGGAUCGUAAACCUCUGUCAGAAGGGAAGAAACCGCACUGUGCUAAUCAGCAGUGCCUUGACGGUACCUUCAAAGGAAGCACCGGCUAACUCCGUGCCAGCAGCCGCGGUAAUACGGAGGGUGCAAGCGUUAAUCGGAAUUACUGGGCGUAAAGCGCACGUAGGCUGCUUUGUAAGUCAGGGGUGAAAUCCCACGGCUCAACCGGGGAACUGCCUUUGAUACGUCUUAGCUUGAAGCCGGGAGAGGGUGGCGGAAUUCCAGGUGUAGGAGUGAAAUCCGUAGAUAUCUGGAGGAACAUCAGUGGCGAAGGCGGCCACCUGGACCGGUAUUGACGCUGAGGUGCGAAAGCGUGGGGAGCAAACA